rnacentral:lncRNA from 1 species
AAAGCAUGCUCGGCAGCUGGACAUGGACGAUAGCGGAAGGUCUCAUUCGGGAAGGUGGAGGUCGUGGGGUCACCUAAGCCCCAACCUGUCCAUAUAGAGCUCCAUCCAGGGUUGCACUAGAGUGCCCUACCUUAAAACCCAGUUCAGGAGCUGGUUUAGGGCUCAAAUUCAAAUCCCCUCUAAUGGUUGGCCCGGCACUUGAGAACGGCAGCAUUAGGACAUCAUCUUAUGUUCAGCUCAGCAUUAAAUGAGAAUGAAGAAUGGUCAUUUCAUCAUUAAGGAAUGAGGA